GUCUUUUAAUUGCAAGUAUAACUGUUAAAACCACGUCGGGAUAGUAGUCAAGAUGGAUAAAAAGUCCUUUGAAAUGGUGCUGGAUGAAAUUAGAAAGGCUGUUUUGACAGAAUACAAAUUAAAAGCAAUUGAAUAUGUGCAUGGAUACUUUUCUAGUGAACAGGUGGUUGAUUUGCUGAGAUAUUUUUCCUGGGCCGAGCCCCAGUUGAAGGCAAUGAAAGCAUUACAGCAUAAAAUGGUGGCUGUCCAGCCAACAGAAGUGGUCAAUAUACUCAACUGUUUCACUUUCAGUAAAGACAAACUAGUUGCUCUUGAACUGUUAGCCUCGUAAGUAUUUCUUUUUUUUUUUUUUUUUUUUUUACUUGGGAAAAAAUGUAGAAGCGUUUUAAGUGUCUAAUUAGUGUGUGUUAAUGUGUCUAACAAAAUACAGUCAAAAGCAUAGUGGUACAUUCUGAUUUCCAAAUGUGAAUAAGUAUCUAGUGUACUUAUUACAUAUAUGACUAUAACUUAUAAAAUGAAGGGGCUUAACAAGAUUGUUUAAUUUGAUUUUUUGUAUUUCAGUUAUUUGCUUUGCCU
rnacentral:lncRNA from 1 species